CACGUAGGGCGCAAGCGUUGUCCGGAAUUAUUGGGCGUAAAGAGCUCGUAGGUGGUUUGUUACGUCUGCUGUGAAAACCUAGGGCUUAACCCUGGGCUUGCAGUGGAUACGGGCAGACUAGAGGUAGGUAGGGGAGAAUGGAAUUCCUGGUGUAGCGGUGAAAUGCGCAGAUAUCGGGAGGAACACCGGUGGCGAAGGCGGUUCUCUGGGCCUUACCUGACGCUGAGGAGCGAAAGCGUGGGGAGCGAACAGG
rnacentral:rRNA from 1 species